UGCGCAGGCGGUUUUGUAAGUCAGAUGUGAAAUCCCCGAGCUUAACUUGGGAAUUGCAUUCGAUACUGGUUGGCUAGAGUAUGGGAGAGGAUGGUAGAAUUCCAGGUGUAGCGGUGAAAUGCGUAGAGAUCUGGAGGAAUACCGAUGGCGAAGGCAGCCAUCUGGCCUAAUACUGACACUGAGGUGCGAAAGCAUGGGAAGCAAACAGGAUUAGAUACCCCCGUA
rnacentral:rRNA from 1 species